rnacentral:rRNA from 1 species
UGUGAGCUCGAUGAGUAGGGCGGGACACGUGGUAUCCUGUCUGAAUAUGGGGGGACCAUCCUCCAAGGCUAAAUACUCCUGACUGACCGAUAGUGAACCAGUACCGUGAGGGAAAGGCGAAAAGAACCCCGGCGAGGGGAGUGAAAAAGAACCUGAAACCGUGUACGUACAAGCAGUGGGAGCAUGCUUAGGCGUGUGACUGCGUACCUUUUGUAUAAUGGGUCAGCGACUUAUAUUCUGUAGCAAGGUUAACCGAAUAGGGGAGCCGAAGGGAAACCGAGUCUUAACUGGGCGUUAAGUUGCAGGGUAUAGACCCGAAACCCGGUGAUCUAGCCAUGGGCAGGUUGAAGGUUGGGUAACACUAACUGGAGGACCGAACCGACUAAUGUUGAAAAAUUAGCGGAUGACUUGUGGCUGGGGGUGAAAGGCCAAUCAAACCGGGAGAUAGCUGGUUCUCCCCGAAAGCUAUUUAGGUAGCGCCUCGUGAACUCAUCUCCGGGGGUAGAGCACUGUUUCGGCAAGGGGGUCAUCCCGACUUACCAACCCGAUGCAAACUGCGAAUACCGGAGAAUGUUAUCACGGGAGACACACGGCGGGUGCUAACGUCCGUCGUGAAGAGGGAAACAACCCAGACCGCCAGCUAAGGUCCCAAAGUCAUGGUUAAGUGGGAAACGAUGUGGGAAGGCCCAGACAGCCAGGAUGUUGGCUUAGAAGCAGCCAUCAUUUAAAGAAAGCGUAAUAGCUCACUGGUCGAGUCGGCCUGCGCGGAAGAUGUAACGGGGCUAAACCAUGCACCGAAGCUGCGGCAGCGACGCUUAUGCGUUGUUGGGUAGGGGAGCGUUCUGUAAGCCUGUGAAGGUGUACUGUGAGGUAUGCUGGAGGUAUCAGAAGUGCGAAUGCUGACAUAAGUAACGAUAAAGCGGGUGAAAAGCCCGCUCGCCGGAAGACCAAGGGUUCCUGUCCAACGUUAAUCGGGGCAGGGUGAGUCGACCCCUAAGGCGAGGCCGAAAGGCGUAGUCGAUGGGAAACAGGUUAAUAUUCCUGUACUUGGUGUUACUGCGAAGGGGGGACGGAGAAGGCUAUGUUGGCCGGGCGACGGUUGUCCCGGUUUAAGCGUGUAGGCUGGUUUUCCAGGCAAAUCCGGAAAAUCAAGGCUGAGGCGUGAUGACGAGGCACUACGGUGCUGAAGCAACAAAUGCCCUGCUUCCAGGAAAAGCCUCUAAGCAUCAGGUAACAUCAAAUCGUACCCCAAACCGACACAGGUGGUCAGGUAGAGAAUACCAAGGCGCUUGAGAGAACUCGGGUGAAGGAACUAGGCAAAAUGGUGCCGUAACUUCGGGAGAAGGCACGCUGAUAUGUAGGUGAAGCGACUUGCUCGUGGAGCUGAAAUCAGUCGAAGAUACCAGCUGGCUGCAACUGUUUAUUAAAAACACAGCACUGUGCAAACACGAAAGUGGACGUAUACGGUGUGACGCCUGCCCGGUGCCGGAAGGUUAAUUGAUGGGGUUAGCGCAAGCGAAGCUCUUGAUCGAAGCCCCGGUAAACGGCGGCCGUAACUAUAACGGUCCUAAGGUAGCGAAAUUCCUUGUCGGGUAAGUUCCGACCUGCACGAAUGGCGUAAUGAUGGCCAGGCUGUCUCCACCCGAGACUCAGUGAAAUUGAACUCGCUGUGAAGAUGCAGUGUACCCGCGGCAAGACGGAAAGACCCCGUGAACCUUUACUAUAGCUUGACACUGAACAUUGAGCCUUGAUGUGUAGGAUAGGUGGGAGGCUUUGAAGUGUGGACGCCAGUCUGCAUGGAGCCGACCUUGAAAUACCACCCUUUAAUGUUUGAUGUUCUAACGUUGACCCGUAAUCCGGGUUGCGGACAGUGUCUGGUGGGUAGUUUGACUGGGGCGGUCUCCUCCUAAAGAGUAACGGAGGAGCACGAAGGUUGGCUAAUCCUGGUCGGACAUCAGGAGGUUAGUGCAAUGGCAUAAGCCAGCUUGACUGCGAGCGUGACGGCGCGAGCAGGUGCGAAAGCAGGUCAUAGUGAUCCGGUGGUUCUGAAUGGAAGGGCCAUCGCUCAACGGAUAAAAGGUACUCCGGGGAUAACAGGCUGAUACCGCCCAAGAGUUCAUAUCGACGGCGGUGUUUGGCACCUCGAUGUCGGCUCAUCACAUCCUGGGGCUGAAGUAGGUCCCAAGGGUAUGGCUGUUCGCCAUUUAAAGUGGUACGCGAGCUGGGUUUAGAACGUCGUGAGACAGUUCGGUCCCUAUCUGCCGUGGGCGCUGGAGAACUGAGGGGGGCUGCUCCUAGUACGAGAGGACCGGAGUGGACGCAUCACUGGUGUUCGGGUUGUCAUGCCAAUGGCACUGCCCGGUAGCUAAAUGCGGAAGAGAUAAGUGCUGAAAGCAUCUAAGCACGAAACUUGCCCCGAGAUGAGUUCUCCCUGACUCCUUGAGAGUCCUGAAGGAACGUUGAAGACGACGACGUUGAUAGGCCGGGUGUGUAAGCGCAGCGAUGCGUUGAGCUAACCGGUACUAAUGAACCGUGAGGCUUAACCUU